GACGAACCGAGCGAACGUUGUUCGGAAUCACUGGGCUUAAAGGGCGCGUAGGCGGGUCAGCAAGUCCGGGGUGAAAUCUUUCGGCUUAACCGGAAAAGUGCCUUGGAUACUGCUGGUCUAGAGGGAGGUAGGGGCAUGUGGAACUUCCGGUGGAGCGGUGAAAUGCGUUGAUAUCGGAAGGAACGCCGGUGGCGAAAGCGACGUGCUGGAUCUCUUCUGACGCUGAGGCGCGAAAGCCAGGGGAGCAAACGGG
rnacentral:rRNA from 1 species